rnacentral:rRNA from 1 species
UACGUAGGGUGCAAGCGUUGUCCGGAAUUAUUGGGCGUAAAGAGCUCGUAGGCGGUCUGUCGCGUCGGCUGUGAAAACCCGGAGCUCAACUCCGGGCCUGCAGUCGAUACGGGCAGACUGGAGUUCGGCAGAGGAGACUGGAAUUCCCAGUGUAGAGGUGAAAUUCGUAGAUAUUGGGAAGAACACCGGUGGCGAAGGCGGCUCUCUGGACCGAUACUGACGCUGAGGCGCGAAAGCGUGGGGAGCAAACAGG